rnacentral:lncRNA from 1 species
GUGGUGGACCAGCAGCUGCUCUACACCUGCUGCCCCUACAUCGGAGAGCUCCGGAAACUGCUCGCUUCGUGGGUGUCAGGCAGUAGUGGACGGAGUGGGGGCUUCAUGAGGAAAAUCACCCCCACCACUACCACCAGCCUGGGAGCCCAGCCUUCCCAGACCAGCCAGGGGCUGCAGGCACAGCUCGCCCAGGCCUUUUUCCACAACCAGCCGCCCUCCUUGCGCCGGACCGUAGAGUUUGUGGCAGAAAGAAUUGGAUCAAACUGUGUCAAACAUAUCAAGGCUACACUGGUGGCAGAUCUGGUGCGCCAGGCAGAGUCACUUCUCCAAGAGCAGCUGGUGACACAGGGAGAGGAAGGGGGAGACCCAGCCCAGCUGUUGGAGAUCUUGUGUUCCCAGCUGUGCCCCCACGGGGCCCAGGCAUUGGCCCUGGGGCGGGAGUUCUGUCAAAGGAAGAGCCCUGGGGCUGUGCGGGCGCUGCUUCCAGAGGAGACCCCGGCAGCCGUACGUGUGAGGGAGGCCUGCAGCUAGCAGGCCAGGCAGUUGUGGGGAGGUGCACGGAGUAGUCUGAGGCUGCGGGAGGGUGUGUGGGGGCGGGGUCAGUGCUCGACUCUGGCAUCCUUUGUUGCACCCGGCCCUCCCCUAGCCCCUGACUCUGUAGUUCUGUUUCGCAGGUUCUGAGCAGUGCAGAGAACAUUGCUGUGGGGCUUGCAACAGAGAAAGCCUGUGCUUGGCUGUCAGCCAACAUCACAGCACUGAUCAGGAGGGAGGUGAAAGCAGCAGUGAGUCGCACACUUCGAGCCCAGGGUCCUGAACCUGCUGCCCGGGGGGAGCGGAGGGGCUGCUCCCGCGCCUGUGAGCACCAUGCUCCCCUCCCCUCCCACCUCAUCUCCGAGAUAAAAGUACACGGCUACCCUACUCCCUUUGGCUU